GACCGGGUGGUUAUAGCGAGGGGAUCCCACCCGUUCCCAUCCCGAACACGGCCGUUAAGACCCUCAGCGCCGAUGGUACUAUGUCUUAAGGCAUGGGAGAGUAGGUCGCCGCCCGGUC
rnacentral:rRNA from 1 species